rnacentral:misc_RNA from 1 species
GUUCAUACUAUGCCGUGCUGGGCCUCAAUCUGGAUGCAUCAGCCGGCGAGAUCCGCAGCACAUACCGGCGGCUGGCCUUGAAGUGGCAUCCAGAUCGCCGGCAGAGGCAGCCGUGGUUGCUGGACGAGGCUAAUAGCAGGUUCCAGGACAUUCAAGAGGCCUACCAAGUGCUGUCCGAUAAGAAGAAGAGGUCGAUGUACGAUGCAAACUUCUAUCAAAGGGGUUUUGAUGACAGAGAAUACGAGGAGGUU